rnacentral:rRNA from 1 species
AUGUUUGCCUUGCAGGGGAAACCCCUUCGAGAAAAUACAAGAUCGUGUAGGUGCAAGUGCCCUGCAAUGAUUAGGCUGUCGAGGACAUCGGACAACGUGUGGUACAUCAUAGAGCAUCGUGUCAAGCAUAAUCAUGUCAUGACGCCAAAUUGUGGUGAAAUGUUGCACUGGCCGUCACACAAGCACAUUGACGUGCACACGAGAGACCUUGUUCGUAACCUAAGGAAGAACAACAUCAACCUGAGCAAGGUGUACAACAUAAUUGGAGGGUUCUUUGGGACAGUGGAGAAUGUGCCCUUUACGAAAAGAUCUCUUCGGAGCCUGUGUGGGCAAAUUAGCAGGGACGAGGCAGAGGACGACGUGAGGAAUACAAGUUUUCGAUGA